rnacentral:rRNA from 1 species
GAUGAACGCUGGCGGCGUGCUUAACACAUGCAAGUCGAACGGUGACGCACCUUCGGGUGCUGAUCAGUGGCGAACGGGUGAGUAACACGUGGGCAACCUGCCCCUGACUCUGGGAUAACUCCUCGAACGAGGCGCUAAUACCGGAUACCACCUUCUGCGGCAUCGCGGGAGGUUGAAAGUUCUUCGGUCAGGGAUGGGCCCGCGGCCUAUCAGCUAGUUGGUGGGGUGAUGGCCCACCAAGGCGACGACGGGUAGCCGGCCUGAGAGGGCGACCGGCCACACUGGGACCGAGACACGGCCCAGACUCCUACGGGAGGCAGCAGUGGGGAAUAUUGCGCAAUGGGCGAAAGCCUGACGCAGCAACGCCGCGUGAGGGAUGACGGCCUUCGGGUUGUAAACCUCUUUCAGCGGGGACGAAGCGAAAGUGACUGUACCCGCAGAAGAAGCGCCGGCUAACUACGUGCCAGCAGCCGCGGUAAUAC